rnacentral:lncRNA from 1 species
GUAAGUCAUUUAUUUUCUCCGAAUUUUAGUUUACUCAACCUGUAAAAUACAAAUGUUACAAUGACAAUAGCAAUAGUUCUACAUUCUAUGUCCAUCUCACAUUAUUAUAAUAAAAUCAGCAAAGAUCCUGCAUUUUAAAGCUUCCUCAAACUAUAAAUAUUAGUCUUAGUUGUCUCAUUUUGCAGGGAAGUCUUGAGUCCAUUCAAAUACUGUAGUCUGUUGGACAAGCAAGCUCCUGGUGUCUAUACAUGUGCUUGAAAAAGUGUGGGCAAGGACUGUAGUCAAAGUCUUUCAACUGUGGUAGUCAGGAAGGAAGCUUCUUGAGGACAGAUGAAGUCAGGCUGAGAGGGCCAGUGAUUAUAUCAGGGCAUAUAAUCCUUUAGGCCUUGACAACUAGAAUCCUCUCUUUUUGUUUUAUUCUUCCCUACCCACAUGUUCAAGUCUGUAUUCUGUAUGAACAUAGGUUCCCCUCCUCUCUGCUCUCUUCCCACUCCACUACUCGAUCUGAUCUCUUGAACAAGGUGUCUAUGGCAGAGAGUUGGGGUGUUUUGUUAGGUUGAGACCACAUCAUUCUGUUAGCUUUUUAUUACUGUAACUUCAGCUGAUUAAUGGGAAAAGGUUCGUUUUGGCUCUGUGGUGGAUUGACUAAUGAGCAACUAGCAAUGCCCAGCUGAACAGAAUCAGCAUGGUCUGGGCAUGGAGGAUCCACCUGAGGAUUGUUACCAAUAGCCAUAAAAAGAACUGGAGGGGAAGAUAGUGGCCUGUUGAUUUUCUAGGAGAAGCUUGCUGCAGAUGGUUUCCCUGAUGUGAACUAGGCCAUUCUCGUUGGAGGAGGAGCUCGGGGAUGUGCUGUCCCUGGGAAUGGCUGCUGUUUUUGUCUCUGAUCUUGAUCAUUCCUGGCUCCAGUGUGGAUCCCUCAGCAUGGUAGCACAAAUCCUUCAUCUCACCAAGGGAGAGAAGCCUGAUUCAACGCUAUCAUUGUCAGUGCCAGGUGUUCUGCUUCCAAAGAGUUCAAAAAUCUAUCUCCAGAGUACCGAGAGUUGUGCCUCACCCAAUCACUGGAAACCAUGAGAUGAAGCCAACCCACACCUGCUCCAAGGCCUGGGUUCAGUUGGCCCCUCCCUAAAAUGGCAUCUGACAAAACAUCCUUUUCCUGGGGACCUUUGGACUGGAGUCACUCACCAGCUGUUGUUGCUUACAGGAUCCACUACUCCAUUCCACUGGUUCAGCAAGGAACCACCAAGUCCACUAGUCUGUGGGAGACUGUUUGAAGAUGAGAUGAUUAAUGAAAGAAAAGUAAUACUAAAAAUGAAGACAAAAAAGCAAGUUCAUUUUAAACACAUUUUUCUUACCCUGGAGGUGCCUAUUUGUCUACCUGGCACUUAUAUUGGCAUCCUAUGCAUGUG